rnacentral:rRNA from 1 species
AACGCGAAGAACCUUACCCAGGCUUGACAUGCUUGAGAAAGCUUAUUGAAAAUAGGCCCUCCCUUCGGGGACUCUUGCACAGGUGGUGCAUGGCUGUCGUCAGCUCGUGCCGUGAGGUGUUUGGUUAAGUCCAGCAACGAGCGCAACCCUUAUCGUUAGUUGCCAACGCGUAAAGGCGGGAACUCUAACGAGACUGCCUGGGUUAACCAGGAGGAAGGUGAGGAUGACGUCAAGUCCGCAUGGCCUUUAUGUCCAGGGCUACACACGUGCUACAAUGGUCGGUACAGAAGGCAGCGAAACCGUAAGGCGGAGCAAAUCCUGUAAAACCGAUCUCAGUUCAGAUUGUAGACUGCAAUUCGUCUACAUGAAGUUGGAAUUGCUAGUAAUGGCGUGUCAGCAACAACGCCGUGAAUACGUUCCCGGGCCUUGUACACACCGGAGUA